AAAGGUGCAUGCUUAAACAUGCAAGUCGCAUGGGCAUUUCGGUGUGUGUGGCGGAAGGUGAGAAACGCGUAGGUAUAUAUACCUUGGGGGGGGGACAACUGUGGGAAACUACGUGUAAUACCGCAUGAUAACUGAGGUUUAAAGGGACAUGUCGCCUGGGGAGGAGCCUGCGUACGAUUAGCUAGUUGGUGGCGUAAAGGCCUACCAAGGCGACGAUCGUUAGCUGGUCUGAGAGGAUGAUCAGCCACAUUGGGACUGAGACACGGCCCAAACUCCUACGGGAGGCAGCAGUGGGGAAUAUUGGACAAUGGGCGCAAGCCUGAUCCAGCAAUGCCGCGUGUGUGAAGAAGGUCUUCGGAUUGUAAAGCACUUUCGACGGGGACGAUGAUGACGGUACCCGUAGAAGAAGCCCCGGCUAACUUCGUGCCAGCAGCCGCGGUA
rnacentral:rRNA from 1 species